AUUGAACGCUGGCGGCAGGCUUAACACAUGCAAGUCGAGCGGAGCGAGGGUGCUUGCACCUUAGCUUAGCGGCGGACAGGUGAGUAAUGCUUAGGAAUCUGCCUAUUAGUGGGGGACAACAUUCCGAAAGGAAUGCUAAUACAGCAUACGCCCUACGGGGGAAAGCAGGGGAUCUUCGGACCUUGCGCUAAUAGAUGAGCCUAAGUCGGAUUAUCUAGUUGGUGGGGUAAAGGCAUGCCAAGGCGACGAUCUGUAGCGGGUCUGAGAGGACGAUCCGCCACACUGGGACUGAGACACGGCCCAGACUCCUACGGGAGGCAGCAGUGGGGAAUAUUGGACAAUGGGCGGAAGCCUGAUCCAGCCUUGCCGCGUGUGUGAAGAAGGCCUUUUGGUUGUAAAGCACUUUAAGCGAGGAGGAGGCUACUUAGAUUAAUACUCUGGGGUAGUGGACGUUACUCGCAGAAUAAGCACCGGCUAACUCUGUGCCAGCCGCCGCAGUAA
rnacentral:rRNA from 1 species